rnacentral:rRNA from 1 species
CAGCAGCCUCGGGAAUACGAGGGGGGCAAGCGUUGUUCGGAAUUAUUGGGCGUAAAGGGCGCGUAGGCGGUUUGGCAAGUUUGGUGUGAAAUCUUCGGGCUCAACUCGAAGUCUGCAUCGAAAACUGCCGGGCUUGAGUAUGGGAGAGGUGAGUGGAAUUUCCGGUGUAGCGGUGAAAUGCGUAGAUAUCGGAAGGAACACCUGUGGCGAAAGCGGCUCACUGGACCAUAACUGACGCUGAGGCGCGAAAGCUAGGGGAGCAAACAGGAUUAGAGACCCCCGUAGUCCCUGUCUCUUAUAC